CCUACGGGGGGCAGCAGUGGGGAAUAUUGGACAAUGGGGGGAACCCUGAUCCAGCCAUGCCGCGUGUGUGAAGAAGGCCCUCGGGUUGUAAAGCACUUUCAGUGAGGAAGAACGCCUGGUGGUUAAUACCCAUCAGGAAAGACAUCACUCACAGAAGAAGCACCGGCUAACUCCGUGCCAGCAGCCGCGGUAAUACGGAGGGUGCGAGCGUUAAUCGGAAUUACUGGGCGUAAAGCGCGCGUAGGUGGCUUGAUAAGCCGGUUGUGAAAGCCCCGGGCUCAACCUGGGAACGGCAUCCGGAACUGUCAAGCUAGAGUGCAGGCGAGGAAGGUAGAAUUCCCGGUGUAGCGGUGAAAUGCGUAGAGAUCGGGAGGAAUACCAGUGGCGAAGGCGGCCUUCUGGACUGACACUGACACUGAGGUGCGAAAGCGUGGGUAGCAAACAGGAUUAGAUACCCCAGUAGUC
rnacentral:rRNA from 1 species